AGUGGAUGGGGAGCAACCUAGUUGUGCGUGUGUAAAGGUAGUGCCAAGAAAAGCGAUGAUCAUGUUGAAAAUCAAUUCCCGAUACCCGAAACCGACACAGGUGGGCAAGUAGAGAAUACUAAGGGGCGCGAGGUAACUCUCUCCAAGGAACUCGGCAAAAUGACCCCGUGACUUAGGGAGAAGGGGUGCCACCGAGAGGUGGUCGCAGUGAAGAGGCCCAGGCGACUGUUUAGCAAAAACAUAGGUCUCUGCAAACUCGAAAGAGGAGGUAUAGGGGCUGACGCCUGCCCAGUGCCGGAAGGUUAAAGAAGUUGGUCAGUUUUAGGAUGAAGCUAGCGACUGAAGCCCCGGUGAACGGCGGCCGUAACUAUAACGGUCCUAAGGUAGCGAAAUUCCUUGUUGGGUAAGUUCCGACCCGCACGAAAGGCGUAACGAUCUGGGCGCUGUCUCGGAGAGAGGCUCGGCGAAAUAGGAUUGUCUGUGAAGAUACGGACUACCUGCAUUUGGACAGAAAGACCCUAUGAAGCUUUACUAUAGCUUGGAAUUGUGUUCGGGCUUCCUGUGCGCAGGAUAGGUGGGAGGCGUAGAAGGUAUUCUUGUGGGGAUACUGGAGCCAACGGUGAGAUACCACUCUCAGGAGGCUAGAAUUCUAACUUAAUUAAGGACAGUUUCAGGUGGGUAGUUUGACUGGGGCGGUCGCCUCCAAAAAGGUAACGGAGGCGUACAAAGGUUCCCUCAGACUGUUGGAAAUCAGUCGAAGAGUGCAAAGGCAGAAGGGAGCUUGACUGCGAGAAGUACAGUUCGAGCAGGGUGGAAACACGGUCUUAGUGAUCCGACGGUGCUGUGUGGAAGGGCCGUCGUUCAACGGAUAAAAGUUACUCUAGGAUAACAGGCUGAUCUCCCCCAAGAGUUCACAUCGACGGGGAGGUUUGGCACCUCGAUGUCGGCUCAUCGCAACCUGGGGGCGGAAGUACGUCCCAAGGGUUGGGCUGUUCGCCCAUUAAAGCGGUACGUGAGCUGGGUUCAGAACGUCGUGAGACAGUUCGGUCCAUAUCCGAUGUAGGCGUGAGAAUAUUGAGAGGAGCCUUCCUUAGUACGAGAGGACCGGGAAGGACGCACCGCUGGUGUACCUGUUAUGAUGCCAAUUGUAAACGCAGGGUAGCCAAGUGCGGAGAGGAUAACCGCUGAAAGCAUCUAAGUGGGAAGCCCACCUCAAGAUGAGUAUUCUGGUGUAAGGUCACGGGAAGACGACCCGUAAAUAGGCACGAGGUGGAAGUGCAGAGAUGUAUGAAGCCGAAGUGUACUAAUAGACCGUCGGCUUGACC
rnacentral:rRNA from 1 species